UAAGAGCAGAUAAUAAUGUGGGCAAUGAGCACGCUCUACAUCUUAAAGCUCACGACGGAGCAGAGGACGUCCGCGCCACAAUGGCAGCAAUUUUGGAUUGUCUUGACAAGCUGGCUCUUGCUGAAAUCUCAGCCAAAGCGGGAUGGGUUAAGAAGUACAACUUCAACUUCACUGCAGCCAUGAAAUCUUACAGG